rnacentral:rRNA from 1 species
AUUGAACGCUGGCGGCAGGCCUAACACAUGCAAGUCGAACGGUAACAGGAAGCAGCUUGCUGCUUUGCUGACGAGUGGCGGACGGGUGAGUAAUGUCUGGGAAACUGCCUGAUGGAGGGGGAUAACUACUGGAAACGGUAGCUAAUACCGCAUAACGUCGCAAGACCAAGGGGGGGGACCUUCGGCCCUCUUGCCUUCGAAUGUGCCCAGAUGGGAUUAGCUAGUAGGUGGGGUAACGGCUCACCUAGGCGACGAUCCCUAGCUGGUCUGAGAGGAUGACCAGCCACACUGGAACUGAGACACGGUCCAGACUCCUACGGGAGGCAGCAGUGGGGAAUAUUGCACAAUGGGCGCAAGCCUGAUGCAGCCAUGCCGCGUGUAUGAAGAAGGCCUUCGGGUUGUAAAGUACUUUCAGCGGGGAGGAAGGGAGUAAAGUUAAUACCUUUGCUCAUUGACGUUACCCGCAGAAGAAGCACCGGCUAACUCCGUG